AAAAGGGAAAAAUCCUACCCUCUUCACAUCAGUCUUCUUAACUUUUUUCUCUCUAAAAAAAAACCCUAGCCGUACUACGAUAGAGGCGAUCUCUUCACAUCAAACUCCGCUAGGAGGAAAAAAAAAAAUUACUUGCACCACACUAGAGAUUUGAUUGAUCAUCACUAUCCCCUUUUGAGUUUUCCAGAAAAGUUACUGGGUUCUCUAAUAGAAGAAUUACCGUUGGGUUUUCUACAAUAAAAUGAAAGAUUUACGCAGUUCUCUAACAGAUACGAUGGUUUAGUAUUUUGCAAGAAGAGAUACCGAAUCAUAUUGAAAGGUUUAGGUUAGCCUGACUUUCCUUUUGUCUCUCUCUUUUUUUUGGGUUACGUUUUUUUCAUUUGAUGUCUUUGGGUUUGAAUUAAUUUUUUCCCUGCACAAUAUAGUCAGAAUUGUUUUUGAAGUAUUUGGUUUCAAUUAAAUUUUUUUUCUUCAAUAAAUUGACCUGUAAAAGUAUUGUCUGUCUUAUUUUUCUUAAAGUUUGGAACUUCACUUUUUAAUUUUUGUUACUUGCCAAAACUUGCAAAUCAUCCAAUCCUAUUUCUUAAGAUAUGUGGAUCAGUUUUUGGGUAUUUUACUAUUCAGUGUAGCUCAAUGAUUACAUUAUGUUGGUUUUGAAGGAUUUGAAUUUCUAUUUGUGAUGAUUAUGUAAUCAUUAAUUUCAGUUCUUAUUUCACAUCCUCAACGUUAUUUUUUGUUAUUUGAAAUUGAAUUAAAAUCCUGACAUUUAUUCUCUUUCACUCAAUGUUUUGGCCUCAAGU